GCUUGGCAUGGUGGCAUGUUCCUGUAGUCCCAGCUACUCAGAAGGCUGAGGAAGGAGGAUCACUUGAGUUCAGGAAUUCUGGGUUGUAGUGCACUAUGCCAAUUGGGCAUCCACACUAAGUUCGGCUUCAAUAUGGUGACUUCGUGGGAGAAGAGGACCAUCAGGUUGCCUAAGGAGGGGUGAACUGACCCAGGUCAGAAACAGAGCAGGUCAAAACUCCCAUUCUGAUUAGUAGUGGGAUCAUGCCUGUGAAUAGCCACUGUGCUCCAACUUGGGAAACAUAGUGAGACCUGGUCUUU
ensembl:misc_RNA Metazoa_SRP Metazoan signal recognition particle RNA